CCAAGAAUAAUAUAAGGGCAGUGUAUAUUUGUAAAGGAAAAAAAAUUAUAUAUCACCUCCUAGUAAAUAAUAACCAGACAGGUAUCAAAACACAUCAGCUUGAAACAAUAACCCCUUGCCUUGAUCACUUGUGUUUGCCACUUUCCUUGCUUUCAUCAUAAUCCUCUGGGAGAUCACAUGUCCACUAGAUGCAUCAUUUACCAGUCGUGUAGUGAUAUAGAUGAUCAAUGUAAGCAAAGAUAGACUAGUACAAUGGUAUAAUGCUGACACAGCCUCUGCUAUCUGGUUCAACCAGACAAUCCAGCCUUGCUCUUCAGAUGCUCCUUAAAGUCCAUAAUGUCACCCUCCCAGCGGGUCACCUUCUGAUUCUCACACACCCAUAUCUCCUGAGCCACCUGGUUUAUGAGCCUGAAAUCAUGACUAACAAGAACCAGACCACCAUCCCACUCAUUCAAUGCUUCAGCUAGUGAGUCAAUUGUCUCAAUAUCCAAAUGAUUAGUUGGUUCGUCCAGCAGCAACAUGUGAGGUUGCCUAUAAGCUAACCAUGCAAAAAUCACCCGGCUCCUUUGACCAUCUGACAGAUUCUUCAUUGGCAUCACCUGCGCCUUACCUGUCAGCCCAAACUUCCCGAUUGCUGCCCUCAUCUUCUCUUCUUCAUUUCCUGGGUAUUCUCUCAUCAUGUACAGGAGAGCAGACAUCUCCAAGUCAAGUUUCUCAGUCAGGUGCUGAUGGAACUGAGCAAUUCUCAAGUGGUUGUGCCGCCGGACCAUGCCAUCAAUAGGAAACAGAUCCCCAGUCAUGAGCUUCAGCAAAGUACUCUUCCCAGCCCCAUUGGGUCCCACCAGAGCAAUCCUUGAGUCCAGGUCUACCCCAAAGUCAAUGUUCUUGUAAAUGAGAUUAUCAGGAGUAUAGCCAAAUGUGACUUCUACAAACUGCAGUACUGGCGGGGGAAGCUUUCCCACAUCAGUGAAGCGAAAGACAAGAAUCUUGUCUCUAACCACUUUUUCUGUAAGGCCUCCACGUUCCAUUUUGGCCAGAGUUUUUUCCUUGCUCUGAGCCUGGCGAGCUAGUUUCGCAGACCCAUGCCCAAAUCGGGCAAUAUACUCCUUCAUUGAAGCAAUCUGGUCCUGCUCCCACUUGUACUGUUUCAUCUGGUUCUCUUCCAGUUCAGCACGGGUUUGAACAUAUUGGUCAUAAUUACCAGUGUAAAGCUUCAGUUUCCUGUUUUGCAUGUGGAUGAUAUUUGUGCAGACACCAUUCAGAAAGUCCUGGGAGUGUGAAACCACAACUAAGAUGCGAUCAAAGUUCUUCAAUGUCUCCUCCAACCAGACACAAGCUUCUAAAUCUGAUACCAGAAAAUUCAGAGUUCAUCAUUGUUAGCAUUUCCCAAUCAUGGAAAAUUUGCUUAACAUCAUAAAUAGAACAGAUGAAAAAUUUUAGAAAGAAAAAAAUCAGACAAUUGCAGAUCAGCUGUCAGUCUCCAACCUGAAAAUAUGAACCAGAGCAAAUUAAGCAUAAUAAAGAACAAGUUAUCAUGAGAACAAGAUCAUCCCCUCCUUUCCAUGUAUGAGGGAUAAACUUCCAAUUAAGCAAAAUAAAGAACAAGUUACCAUAGGAACGAAAUCAUCCCCUCCUUUCUGUGUAUGAGGAAUGAACUUCCAUGGAUCAUGAAAACAGAAUUACUGGUCGAGUGUGCAAAAUCUCUCCUCGAAAGAAUUGGAACAUAAAAUUUAUCUGACAAAGGCUAUGCACUGUUGAGAACACCACCAUUCUAUUAGAAAUUUAGAAAUAGGAACCUAUUCCCUACUCUUCACAUCAUCUUCCAACCAGUGAUGCCGGUCCAUCACCCCACAAAAGACUCUCCUAGGAUGGGGACCCAAACCUCAGGGUGCUAACCAUGCCUGCCAUAACCAGCACCAAGUACUCCAGAGCAUCCAAACAGUGACAUGAAUCAAACCCAGGACUGUGUUGCUAACACACAUCCUAGCAUUUGCCCAAGACCGUGUCUCUAACUGGGCACCCUGACGGGCAAAGUCAAUGAAUAUACUAUCAACACCAUAAUUGAAAAGCUAAACCAUAUACACCCAUUUUGCCUAAACAAACUCAGACAUGUUUCCUCAAGAUGAAUAGUUGCAUUCCUUGAAAAGUGAACCCAACUUGCAGUUAUUUUUAAGAGCUAACAUGAUAGCUGAUGCAGGACUGUUCUACCACUGUUUAGAGUAAUGUAUGAACUAGAGCAGCCCCUGGUCAAACCUUAACCAGGAUUUUUGGUUAACAGGAGAAGAAAGAAAGGAAAAACUGAACAUUCAAUUAAGGAUUUUUGGUUAACAGGAGAUGAAAGAAAGGAAAAAUUAAACAUCCAACAACCACUAUUGAUACCCAUGCACCACUACACCAUCCAAAAAUGUAUAAAACCAAAAAAUAUCAACAUACCAAAACAAGAAUAAAAGUACUAAAAUCUUAAAAUCCAUGAGGAAGUUGGAUGCUAGGAAAACUUACCAAGAUGAUUAGUGGGUUCAUCGAGUAACAGAAUGGUUGGAUUCAUAAACAAAGCCCGAGCUAAUGCUAUCCUCAUUCUCCAACCACCAGAGAAAUCUUGUGUUUUCUUUGCUUGCAUCGUCUUAUUAAAACCAAGACCAAACAAGAUUUCAGCAGCGCGCUUUUCUGCAGUUGAUGCAUCCAUGGCUUCCAAACGCUCAUAUACACGAUCAAGGGCCUCUCCGCCACCAUCAUCCUAAGCCAAUAGAAAAUAUGGAAGUCAGGCAGAAUGCCCAAGAAAGACCAAGCUCAGAGUUGCUAACCUUAUUUACUUAGACAUACCUGUGCAGCCAACACUUCAGCUUCUUUCUCCAAUUUCAACCUCUCCUCAUCACAGCUUAUGACAGCCUCAAGGGCAGACAUGUCAGAAGCUUCAAUCUCUCUGGUUAGAUGAUGGAUGUCCAUGUGUUCUGGAAUGGGAAGUUCUCGG
rnacentral:lncRNA from 1 species